rnacentral:rRNA from 1 species
AUUGAACGCUGGCGGCAUGCCUUACACAUGCAAGUCGAACGGUUACAGGUUAAGCUGACGAGUGGCGAACGGGUGAGUAAUGUAUCGGAACGUGCCCAGUCGUGGGGGAUAACUGCCCGAAAGAGCAGCUAAUACCGCAUACGACCUGAGGGUGAAAGCGGGGGACCGUAAGGCCUCGCGCGAUUGGAGCGGCCGAUAUCAGAUUAGCUAGUUGGUGAGGUAAAGGCUCACCAAGGCGACGAUCUGUAGCUGGUCUGAGAGGACGACCAGCCACACUGGGACUGAGACACGGCCCAGACUCCUACGGGAGGCAGCAGUGGGGAAUUUUGGACAAUGGACGCAAGUCUGAUCCAGCCAUGCCGCGUGCGGGAAGAAGGCCUUCGGGUUGUAAACCGCUUUUGUCAGGGAAGAAACGGGUUUUUCUAAUACAGAGACCUAAUGACGGUACCUGAAGAAUAAGCACCGGCUAACUACGUGCCAGCCGCCGCCGUAACAC